rnacentral:rRNA from 1 species
AUUGAACGCUGGCGGCAGGCUUAACACAUGCAAGUCGAGCGGAGAGAGGUAGCUUGCUACUGAUCUUAGCGGCGGACGGGUGAGUAAUGCUUAGGAAUCUGCCUAUUAGUGGGGGACAACAUUUCGAAAGGAAUGCUAAUACCGCAUACGUCCUACGGGAGAAAGCAGGGGAUCUUCGGACCUUGCGCUAAUAGAUGAGCCUAAGUCGGAUUAGCUAGUUGGUGGGGUAAAGGCCUACAAAGGCGACGAUCUGUAGCGGGUCUGAGAGGAUGAUCCGCCACACAGGGGCUGAGGCAGCGACCAGACUCCUACGGGAGGCAGCAGUGGGGAAUAUUGGAUCAUGGGCGCAAGCCUGAUCCAGCCAUGCCGCGUGUGUGAAGAAGGCCUUAUGGUUGUAAAGCACUUUAAGCGAGGAGGAGGCUACUUUAGAUAAUACCUAGAGAUAGUGGACGUUACUCGCAGAAUAAGCACCGGCUAACUCUGUGCCAGCCGCCGCCGUAACAC